rnacentral:rRNA from 1 species
AUACGGAGGAUCCGAGCGUUAUACGGAUUUAUUGGGUUUAAAGGGUGCGCAGGCGGCCAUUUAAGUCAGCGGUUAAAUCGUGGGGCUCAACCCCAUUCUGCCGUUGAUACUGGGUGGCUUGAUUGCGGUCGAGGUUGGCGGAAUUCGUUGUGUAGCGGUGAAAUGCAUAGAUAUGACGAAGAACACCGAGUGCGUAGGCAGCUGAGCAGAUCGCAAAUGACGCUCAUGCACGAAAGUGCGGGGAUCGAAAAGGAUUAAAUACCAUUGUAGUCCGCACAGUAAACGAUGAAUACUUGAUUUCGGCGAUAUAAUGUCGGAGGCAAAGCGAAAGCGAUAAGUAUUCCACCUGGGGAGUACUCCGCCAACGUUGCAACUCAAAUGAAUUGGCGGGG